CUCCUCGGAGAGGCUCUACCCAGCAGUUGACUGAAGCAGAUGCAGAUAUACAGAGCCAAGCAUUGGAUGGAGGUCGGGGACUUUUAUGGAAGAGCUGGGGGAAGGAUUGAAGGAACUGAAGGGGAUGGCAGCCCAAUAGAAACAUCAACAGGGUCUACUAACAAGGAGCCCUGGGAGCUCGCAGAGACUGAGCCACCAACCAAAGCACACACACAAGCUGGAACGAGGCCCUCAGCACGUUCCACAUGCAGGUUCAUCACCUCAUUCUCUGAACCCAAGUCAUGGUGCCUGGCUUUCCCCAUGGAUGGAUGUGCUGUCCAGGUGCUGUUGAUUGACGUGAGGCGUCCCUUCACAUUACAUCAUCUUGUGUUUGGCCUUUAACCUGAGGUAACUGGGGAGGAGUCUAGCCUGAAGGUCGGAAGCUUGGAACUUUGCCUACAUGACUAUUAAACCAUGCUUCUCUUGUCGGGGCUGAGGGGUAACUUAGACAGGAGCCAGAGUUCCAGGAGACAUGAGAGAGAGAACGCCUUCUGUCCCAUGUAGGUGAAUUAUCACUACCAGGUCCCGGGGUUCCACACCUCAGCUCUACUGGAGAUCAGACUGUCUGUGUAUAGCCCAACGCCCCACAAUACCCGUGUGUAUAUCUGUGCAUGGUGUGCAUGCCUGGCUCUGAGAGGCCAGAAGAGGGUGCUGGAGCUCCUGGGACUGGAGUUCUAGAAAGUGGAAAACCCUUGUGCUCUGGCCUGGUAACUCCUUGCUUGUACCCAGAUCCCCAAAGGAACUUCGGAGUGCUCCUCUCUUGCCUUCUCAUCUCAUUUUUUGGACAUUAAGUAUUGCUUUGUAACCCAGGCUGCUUUUGAAUCUCAUUUCUCAAUGCUGGGAUUAAAGGUGGGCUUUAGCCACA
ensembl:lincRNA Gm12315 predicted gene 12315